rnacentral:tRNA from 1 species
GCGUAUUUCGUCCAAAGGUAGGAUAACGGUCUCCAAAACCGUUGAUCUAGGUUCGAAUCCUAGAAUGCGUG